GUAAAUAUAGUUUAAUGGUAGAAUAUAUGUUUUUAGGUGCAUAUGAUCUGAGUUCAAUUCUCAGUGUUUACA
rfam:Kluyveromyces thermotolerans complete mitochondrial genome, strain CBS 6340